GACGAACGCUGGCGGCGUGCUUAACACAUGCAAGUCGAACGGAAAGGCCCUUCGGGGUACUCGAGUGGCGAACGGGUGAGUAACACGUGGGUGAUCUGCCCUGCACUUUGGGAUAAGCCUGGGAAACUGGGUCUAAUACCGGAUAGGACCACGCGCUUCAUGGUGUGUGGUGGAAAGCUUUUGCGGUGUGGGAUGGGCCCGCGGCCUAUCAGCUUGUUGGUGGGGUAAUGGCCUACCAAGGCGACGACGGGUAGCAGGCAUGCGAGGGUGACCGGCCACACUGGGACUGCGCUAGUGCCCAGACUCCUACGGGGGGGAGCAGUGGGGAAUAUUGCACAAUGGGCGCAAGCCUGAUGCAGCGACGCCGCGUGAGGGAUGACGGCCUUCGGGUUGUAAACCUCGUUCGCCAGGGACGAAGAGCAAGUGACGGUACCUGGAGAAGAAGGACCGGCCAACUACGUGCCAGCCGCCGCAGUAAGAG
rnacentral:rRNA from 1 species